rnacentral:lncRNA from 1 species
UAUAUGUGAUAGGCCACCCCUAGAGGGUUGUGCCGCUUCCCCCAAACCUAUUUUCUCACAUGGUAUCAGACUAGGUCACAAUCGCUUCCGCCUAAAACCCUAACCAGCCGACACUGCCACCCCUGUCGAUCGCACCACCGCCGCCAUGUCGUGCGCCGCCGCCUCCAGCUCCUCCAAUGCCAACUAUCUGCCGGCCUCCCUCGUGGCUCUCCUCUCCUGCCCGCUCGACUCCGCCACGGUGCAGUCGUUCCAGAUCGGGACGAGGACCGUCGGCUCCUUCUUCUCCAACCAGCCGUCGGCAUCUUCGUCGCUGGGGCAUGCGGAGACGAUCCACACAUCGGGCGUCUCAUCGCCCGCCUUGAUCACCGCCGCCGUCCCACCUCUCACACUGGAGGAACCUGCGUCGGCCUGGAUGGCCGACCUCUCUUCAUCGGGCUCGACGCAACACCCUGCUCCCGCGGUGUCCGCGCCCUUGGCUGCGUCCAUGUUGGCCCAGUCUGCCCCUAUGGCGCAUGCGCCUCCGACAGCCUACACCACGGGCUCGCCGCCGUUUCACUUUGGAAACCUCAUCACCAUCAAGUUGUCAUCAGACAACUAUAUCUUCUGGCGUGCGCAGGUCCUUCCGCUCCUUGGGAGCCAUUACCUGCUUGGCUACAUCGACGAAUAUCUCCCUUGCCCCCCCCGCGCUGGUGGAUAGCGUGCACGGCUAGGUCUAUAAUCUGAUGCACCGUGUCUGGACAGGGCAGGAUCAGGCAAACCUCCCCUCUAUCCAGGGGUCACUCACCCCGGCUGUUGCCGGGCUUGUCAUUUUUGCCAAGACGUCUCAUGAGGCAUGGACUAUCCUCGAGCGCUCGUUUGCGGCGUAGUCAUAGGCUCGUGUCAGCGCCUUUCGUCGUCAGCUUGGCGAGUGUGAGAAGCUCGACUCCUCGGCCAUAGAGUUCUACAACAAGGUCAAGGCUCUUGCUGACAUGUUAGCGUCCAUUGGACAACCACUCACCGACUCCGAGUUCAACUCUUUCAUUGUCAACGGUCUCGACGAGGAGUAUGAUGCUUUGGUCGAGAUCAUCAACGAGCGGGGCAAAUCAACUCCCAUGAUGGCGCACGAGGUCUAUUCUCGUCUUCUCCUCACAGAGCAGCGUGUCGAGGUGCGCCGUUCCAAGAGCAGUCAUGGAACUCUCUCUGCGAACGCUGCCACUAAGGGUGGCCGCACCUCCUCUGGUGCCUCGUCCAAGGCGCCUCCUGCACCGCCCUCGCCAUCCUCGGCUCCCCCUUCAUCAGCAACCUUACCAGGGGGGUGUGGUCGGCGUGUGUGUCAGCUCUGUGGCAUUGAGGGACACUGGGCCUCUAUGUGUCAUCGCCGCUUCCAGCGGAGCUUCCUCAGCCUCAGCAAUGAUGGCAAGGAUACGCGUAAUAACGCGCGUUAGGUCGCCAUGGCUGAUCGUCCGGCACCACAGAAGCAACAAGGGAACACUCAGUCCUACUCCAUCGACCCACACUGGUACAUGGAUUCUAGGGCAACGGAGCACCUGACGAGCGAGAUGGGGAAGCUUCACACUCGUGAACCCUAUCAUGGCUCCGACAAUAUCCACACCGCCAAUAGAGCAGGUAUGCACAUCUCUCAUUUGGGCAAGCAUCUCUCCCCACUAGUCAUGCAAAUAGGAGUCUUCAGCUUCGCAAUAUACUUAAGAGUACCAUCUGUGACGCGUAAUCUCCUUUCAGUUCCUAAACUCACUCGUGACAAUAAUGUGUUUUGUGAAUUUCACCCAUUUGAUCUUUUUAUUAAGGAUCGGGGCACGAGGGACACACUUCUUAGAGGACGUCUGUGCCAGGGCCUCUAUCGUUUGGAGCAUCCUGGCGUCUCUCGCGUUUUCAGUGGAGUUCGAGUAUCUUCGUCACAGUGGCAUGCUCGCCUUGGUCAUCUAGCCACACCUAUCAUUCGUCAUGUUUUGCGUCGUCAUGAGCUUCCUAGCAUGUCUUGUAAUAAAGAUGUAGCAGUGUGUGAUGCUUGUCAGCAGGGGAAGAGUCAUCAACUUCCCUUUUUGGAGUCUAGUCGUGAGGUGAAACAUCCUCUAGAACUUGUGUUUUGAGAUGUAUGGGGUCCUGCUCAGACUUCUGUUAGUGGUCAUAAUUAUUAUAUCAGUUUCGUUGAUGCUUACGGUCGCUUUACUUGGCUUUAUCUUAUUAAGUGUAAAUCUGAUGUGUUUGAUAUCUUUGUUCAGUUUCAAAAACAUGUUGAACACCUUCUCAAGCAUAAGAUUGUUCAUGUUCAAUCGGAUUGGGGGGGGGGGGUGAGUAUCGCAACCUCAACUCCUUCUUCCAGUCGCUUGGGAUCGCUCACCGUUUAGCAUGUCCACAUACACAUUAGCAGAAUGGUUCCGCGGAAUGUAAGCAUCAUCAUAUCGUCGAAACUGGUCUUACUCUUUUGGCCCAUGCAUCGGUUCCCUUUCGUUUUUGGAGUGAUGCUUUCACCACUACAUGUUUUCUUAUCAACCGUACUCCCACUCGUGUUUUAAACAUGAAGACUCCCAUUGAACUUCUCCUUAUUGAACAACCUGAUUACACUUUUUUCAAAGUGUUUGGGUAUGCUUGCUGGCCGCAUCUACGCCCAUACAACAAAUGCAAGCUGGAGUUUCGAUCCAAAAAGUGUGUCUUUCUUGGCUAUAGCUCCCUUCAUAAAGGAUAUAAAUGUCUUCAUGUUCCCACUAAUCGCGUCUACAUAUCUCGGGAUGUCGUGUUUGAGGAGCAUGUUUUUCCCUUUGCCAAACUUCCUGUGUGCACCACUAAAUCACCAUCCAUGCAUUCAUCCUCUAUUGCGUCUGACCAAUUUGAUGAUGUUGCAUACUCUCAUGUAUUAUUGCCUAAUCAUGGUGCAGGCACUGGACGUGGGGCUCGUUUGGAAAAUUUAGAGGCACCCUCGCCUCCCUCGUCGACGUCACCUGAUGCUCACGUCGAUCAUGUUGUGCCCCUCCAUGGCCUCGGUACGGGUGCCCAUGCACGCCAGACCAAUGCGCCUGUGACACCGCCCGCUUCGUCGCCCACGGCAUCUAGGCCGGCCUCGCCCCGCGUUAGGCCUGCCACGCCCAUCGAGUCUGGGCCGGCUUCGCCUGGGCUGGCUUCCUUGCCAAGCAGCCUAGCGUCGCCUGGCUCCGAUUUUCCGAGUCCCUCGCCGACUGGGUCCUCUCCGUCGCCUAGUCCCCCGCUGACUGGGUCAUCUCCGUCGCCGUCACCCAGUCCCUCGCUGACUGGGGCAUCUCCGUCGCCGUCGCCAUCGUCCAGCCCCUCGUCGGCUGCACCCUCGAACUCGAUGGCCCCUGCUGCUGCUUUACGUCCACAUACACGCAGUCGCAGUGGCAUUUUUCAACCAAAGCAAUGCCAUGAUGGUACUGUUGCUUGGCUUGCUGCAUGCAUGACUGCUGUGCUUGCGGAUCCAUCCUCUGAGCCGCAUAUGUAUCAAGCUGCUAUGAGCAUUCCUCAUUGGAGAGAGGCCAUGGAGCAGGAGUAUCAAGCUCUUCUUCGUAAUAAGACGUGGACUCUCGUUCCUCCACCACUGCGAGUUAACGUUAUUGAUAUAAAUGGGUUUUCAAGGUGAAGAAGCAUUCUGAUGGGUCUAUUGAGCGCUACAAAGCGCGUCUUGUUGCCAGAGGAUUUCGGCAGCGCUAUGGUCUUAACUACGAAGACACCUUCAGUUCGGUGGUUAAGCCUCCCUUGCAGUUACUCGAGGUUGGUUUCUUCAUCAGCUUGAUGUGUAGAAUGCUUUCUUCACGACGUAUUGGAGGAGGAGGUUUAUAUGCGACAACCUCCUGGUUUGUCUGAUCCUGAUUGUCCUGAUCAUCUCUGCCGUCUCACCAAAGCACUCUAUGGUCUGAAGUAAGCUCCCCGUGCUUGGCAUGCCCUUCUUGCAACGGCCCUUCGUGCUCAUGGUUUUGCAUCAUCGACUGCUGACUCAUCAUUAUUUCUUCUACAGAAACCUGAGGUCACUAUGUACUUGCUAUUCUAUGUGGAUGAUAUUAUUCUUGUCAGCUCCUCUCAGUCGGCUGCUACUGCUCUUGUUCGAUCUCUUGGUGCUGAUUUUGCUGUCAAAGAUCUUGGGAAGCUUCACUACUUCCUUGGUGUGGAGGUUGCUUCUUGGGCUGAUGGACUUGUUAUGAUGCAGAAGAAGUACUCUUUGGAUUUGUUGCAGCGGGCUGGGAUGCUUAAGUGCAAACCGACAACUACACCUAUGUCUACCACUGAUAAGAUCACUGCUGUUGAUGGUGAGUUUCUAUCCUCUGCUGAUUCGACAGAGUAUAGGAGUAUUGUUGGUGGUCUUCAGUACUUGACGAUCACGAGACCAGAUAUUUCUUUUGCUCUCAACAGAGUUUGUCAGUAUCUGCAGGCACCUCACGACACUCAUUGGUCGGCUAUUAAGCGCAUAUUGCGCUAUAUCCGAUUCAUCGUGUCUCAUGGACUGCAUAUUCGACCGAACCCCUCUAGGGUCCUCUCGGCGUACUCUGAUGUGGACUGGGCUGGCAGUCCGGAUGACCGGAGAUCCACGGGGGGCUAUGCUGUGUUCUUUGGCUCUAACUUGAUCGCCUGGAGUGCUCGGAAAUAGGCUACUAUUUCACGUAGGAGUACCGAGGCUGAGUAUAAGGUUGUGGCUAAUGCUACUGCAAAAAUUAUCUGGGUACAGUCUUUGCUUUAGGAAUUGGGUAUAUCCCAAUCACAGUCUCCUAUCCUUUGGUGUGACAACAUCGGUGCUACAUACGUUUAUGCAAAUCCGGUAUUCCAUGCCCGAACGGAACACAUUGAAGUUGACUAUCACUUUGUGCGGGAACAUGUCUCUCAGAAGCAACUACAGGUCAGGUUCAUCUCUUCCAAGGAUCAACUUGCAGACAUCUUCACCAAGCCAUUGCCUCUACCACAGUUUGAGGCUUGUAGGCGCAAUCUUACCCUUCUAUAUUCUUUAGGAAGUGGCUAAGAUUGAGGGAGGGUAUUAGACUGUAUAGCUUCUGUAUACAUAUACGCAUGUUGUAACAUUGUACCCACUCAUUAUAUAUAUGUGAUAGGCCACCCCUAGAGGGUUGUGCCGGUUACCAAACCUAUUGUCUCACAAAUGAUAGUUCCAAACACUUUUUCUAGCAUUAUUCUUUAUCAUAAAUAGUUGCCCAUCUCAUAAAAACUACUCAUGAUCAAGUAGAAAGCUAUUCACAUGUUAAAGUAUAGACCAUAAAGUUUCUUGAAAACUAACAAACUAGGCUUUCAAUCACCAAACAAUUGCAAUUCAUCUUAUUUUCAGGAAGGGUCUAUGUAAGAGCUUUGAUUUAGCAAAUUCCAGAUACUCAACUAUCAUAUAGUCUUCCAUGAACACUCAAAGCAUAUUUUUAGAACAAAUAGCACCCGUGGAACACAGAGAAAGAUAGGGGCUUAAUGUUUUGCCUCCCAACUUAUUUACCAUAUAGAUAAUUGUCAACAAUAAUAACUCAUGAUCAAAUAUAUUUGAAUGGCCAUAUAUGCUUGCAUCUUUCCCCACCAUAUGAUGCUUGCCAACUAAAGAAUGAUUGCGGUUGAAAUAAGAAGGAAUACUAUUGACUCUUGCAUAAAAGUAAAUACAUGAAAGUAAAAGAUAGGCUCUUCGCAGAGGGAAGCAGAGGUUGUCAUGCACUUUUUAAAUUUGGAUGUGCAAAGGAAUGUCAUGUUGUAUUGCCCUUUGUGAUAGCAACCUUUAUUAUGCAGUCUGUCGCUUUUAUUUCUUUACCAUCACAAGUUCGUACAACACUUAUUUUCCCUUGCAAUAAAAGAUCAUACAUAUUUAGGAGCAAUUUUAUUGCUUUUUGCACCGAUGACAACUUACUUGAAGGAUCUUAUUCAAUCCAUAGGUAGAUAUGGUGGACACUCAUGGAAUGAAACGGGGUUUAAGGGUUUUGGAUGCACAAGAAGUAUCUCUACUUAGUACAAAUUUUUUGGCUAGCAAAAGAUCCUAAGCAAGCACCACAUGUUGGAGGAUCCAUAACAAUAUAACUUCUAUACAAAUAUACCCAAACAUAACUCAUUACGUUGUCUUCCUUGUCCAACUUCAACUAAUUUUAUCAAGUUUGAAAAUAAUUAAUGGGGCUCACAAUCAUAGAAGAUGUCCAAGAUUGUAUAUUUAUAUGUGAAAUCUCUCUUCCUUAAAUAUUCUUUCAUGAAUUGUUCAAGUGACCAAUGUUGAGAUUGCUAGCUUUCAAUAAAUUUUACCACCUAUAAUUCUUAUACGUGAAGUCAUUACUCCCCAUGGGAUAAGCAUAUGAAACAUAUAUAAUUUCAGAUUUAUGAUAUUCAAUUCAUUCAACCAUUUACUCAUAAGAUAUAAGUGAAGCACGAGAGUAAAUGACAAACUACUCCAAAAAGAUAUAAGUGAAGAACAAUGAGUAGUCAAAAUAGCCAUGGGAGGACUCUCUCUCGUUCAAGAUUUCAGAUCCAAUGAUUUUAUUCAAACAGCAAGUAAAAUGAAAAUACGCUCCAAGCAAAACACAUAUCAUGUGACGAAUAAAAAUAUAGCUCCGAGUAAGGUAUACCGAUGGUUUUGAAGACGAAAGAGGGGAUGCCUUAGGCGCUUGAGUCUCCUUGAAUAUUACCUUGGGGUGCCUUGGGCAUCCCAAAGCUUAGGGUCUUUCCACUCCUUAUUCUCCUCGUAUCGAUAUCUCACCCAAAACUUGAAAACUUCAAUCACACAAAACUUAACGGGACUUCGUGAGAUGGGUUAGUAUGAUAAAGAGUAAAUCAUUCACUUUGGUACUGUCAAAGACAAGAUUCAUAAUUGUUCUCACACAAUGCCUACUAUACCGUAUCAUUUCUACAAUUUAUAUUGAGCAAUAUAAGCCAUAGAACUAGAAAACAAGCAAACCAUGCAUUGAAAACAGAAUCUGUCAAAAACAGAACAGUCUGUAAUGAUCUGAACAUUAACCAUUCUUCUGUAAAUCCAAAAAUUCUAAAAAAUUAGGAAAACGUAGGAAAUUUGUGUACCAAUCAUGUGUAAAACAUUCAGAAUUUAAUUACUCUCCAGUGAAUUUAAAAAAUUCUGUGACUGGAAGCAAAUGUUUCUGUUUUUGCACAGAAUCAAGUCAACUAUCAUCCACAUCAUCCCAAAGGCUUUACUUGGCACUUCAUUGAAACGAAAACUAUAAAAACAUGAUUACCACAUUAGCUUAAUCAUUUGGACACACAAAAACAGUAGGUAUAAAUAUUGGGUUGUCUCCCAACAAGCGCUUUUCUUUAAUGCCUUUCUAGCUAGGCAUGAUAUUUUUAAUGAUACACUUCCAAGCCCAAUUCCAAUGAUAAUUUUGUUCAUACUCUGAAAGAUAUAAGUGAAGUUCAUAGAUCAUUCUACAAUUAAUACAGAUUGACAAAUAUCCAAGCUCAAAAUAUAUAAGUGAAUCACAUGAAGCAUUCUAUAAAAUCAUACUUAAAAGAUUUAAGUGAAGCACAAAGAGCAUUCUAUAAAGCCAUACUCAAAAGAUUUAAGUGAAGCGCAUGAAGCAUUCUAAAUCAAUGAAGGAAUAUAUCAUACUAGCAUGGUGCAUAAAGGAAAAGAAAGGAAAAAUAAACACAAAAGACGCAUAUCAUGUGAACAAAACAAAAACCGAGGUGUACCGAUGAUUGUUGAAGAAGAAAGAUGGGAUGCCAACCAGGGGAUCCCCAAGCUUAGAUGCUUGAGUAUCCCUGAAAUAUUUACUUGGGGUGCCUUGGGCAUCCCCAAGAUUGAUCUCUUGCCUCUCCUUAUUCCUCACAUAUUGAUAACUCCUCGAUCUUUGAACACUUCAUCCACACGAAACUUAACAAAGCCCUCGUGAGAUCCGUUAGUAUAAUAAAGCAAAUCACUACCAUUAGGUACUGUUGUAAACUCAUUCCAAUUUCAUAUUAGCAUUAUAUAUACUGUAUUCCAACUUCACCAUGGUUCAUACCCCCCGAUACUACCCAUAGAUUCAUCAAAAUAAGUGAACAACACAUAGAAAACAUAAUCUGUCAAAAACAGGACAGUCUGUAGUAAUCUGGAAAUUUCAUAUAUUUUUAUACCUCAAAAAAUUCUGAAAAAAUAGGACAAUAUAAAAAAUUUGCAUAACAAUACGGUGUAAAAAUUUCAGAAUUUUAUCUCAUUUCAGUGAAUUUAUACAAUUCUGUUUCUGAAAGCAAAAGUUUCUGUGUUUGCAUCGCACAUAGAAAACGAGCAAUCUAAUCAUCCUAAAGGCAAACCUUGACACAUUAUUUUUAUAAUACAAUGAAUAUAUACAAGGGGAUACUUAUUUUUGAGAAAUUUCCAUGAAAAAUUCUACAUUGUUUCCAUGAGCAUGAACACAAGUGUUCAAGGUCGACCCUCACUUCUCCAAUGCAUAACCUUUUAAUCACUUCUCUUCUUGAAAAACUCUUUAGGCCUAAGAGGCAAGUAUUUUUUUGUUUCACCCACAACUAAAGAAAGCAAGAAAACAAAAACAAAA